UACGGAGGGUGCAAGCGUUAUCCGGAAUCAUUGGGUUUAAAGGGUCCGUAGGCGGAUAGAUAAGUCAGAGGUGAAAUCCUGCAGCUCAACUGUAGAAUUGCCUUUGAUACUGUUUAUCUUGAAUCAUUGUGAAGUGGUUAGAAUAUGUAGUGUAGCGGUGAAAUGCUUAGAUAUUACAUAGAAUACCAAUUGCGAAGGCAGAUCACUAACAAUGUAUUGACGCUGAUGGACGAAAGCGUGGGGAGCGAACAGG
rnacentral:rRNA from 1 species